rnacentral:sRNA from 1 species
GUCGUGAGAUGUUGGGUUAAGUCCCGCAACGAGCGCAACCCCCGUCGCAUGUUGCCAGCAUUCAGUUGGGGACUCAUGCGAGACUGCCGGUGACAAACCGGAGGAAGGCGGGGAUGAGGUCAAGUCAUCAUGCCCCUUAUGUCCAGGGCUACACACGUGCUACAUUGGCGCGUACAAAGGGCUGCGAUACCGCGAGGUGGAGCGAAUCCCUUAAAGCGCGUCUCGGUUCGGAUUGCAGGCUGAAACUCGCCUGCAUGAAGGCGGAGUUGCUAGUAAUCGUGGAUCAGCACUGCCACGGUGAAUACGUUCCCGGGCCUUGUACACACCGCCCGUCACACCACGGGAGUGAGCAACACCCGAAGCCGGUGGCCUAACCCGCAAGGGAGGGAGCCGUCGACGGUGGGGCUCGUGACUGGGGUGAAGUCGUAACAAGGUAGCCGUAGCGGAAGCUGCGGCUGGAUCACCUCCUUUCUAGGGAGCGCCGAAAGGCGCCCCGGCGGAGCCGCCGGCCCAUUCCGGGCCGUUCGAGCGACCGUCGGGCCUAGCACGUCGACCGAACCUGACCGGCCAUACAAGGCUGUCGUUCGCGCUCUUUCUUGCGGCGCGGCGCCGGCUGGCCGGCAUGCUGUUGAGUUUUGAGAGACCGGCGCCGCCGGGCGCCCUCCGCGCAUGUCGCGGCCAGGGCGCCGACAGUACGGCGAACGCGGCUCCGGCGAUCCUUGAAAACUGCACAGUUAGCCACGGUGGUCGCGCGCCAAGCGCGAUCGCCUAUCAACAACGGGUAUCACCGAACCAUUAAUGGUUUGAUCACCGUCAAGAUAGUAAGGGCACGUGGUGGAUGCCUUGGCACUAAGAGUCGAUGAAGGACGUGGACGGCUGCGAUAAGCCGCGGUGAGGCGCUGAACAGCCUAUGAUCCGCGGAUUC